rnacentral:lncRNA from 1 species
CCCACCAUAUUAUGUUGUUGACCAAGUUUUGGGCUCAAUUCGAUAUCGAUUGAACUAAGAAUAUGGAAAAUUCAAGUUUGUACAAAGUUUGUUCUGUAAAUGUAGUGGUUAGUGUAUUGCAUAGUUUUAGCGACUGGAUUUCCCUCAAAACACACCAAUUAACUCCUCCCCCCACACUAUGACGUUGCCCAUAUUUUGGGCUCAGUCUGAUAUUGAUUGGCCAAAGAAAUUGGACAAUUCAAGUUCUUACAAAGUUCGUUCCGUAAAUGGAGUAGUUGGUGUAUUGCACAGUUUUAGCCAAUGGAUUUCAUUGAAAAAUCACG